CUACUAAUAAAAGCCCCAGAGGGGCGGAUCCAACACAUCUGAGCCGCACAAUCAAAAUAUCUGACGUCUCACGUCUCUUCCGUGUUUGACGGGAGCGGACAACUCAUACCACGGUAAUCCCUUCCCCCGCAUGAUUAACGAGCGGUUAUCAUCAAGAUCCCAUCGCCGCCCUCCCACCGCAGCCGUCCUCUCUUCGUCGCCGCCCUGCCGCCCCAUCCUCCCUGGCAAUCUACCCGCCCUACCGCCCUCAACGCCGGGAAGCGAAUCCCCCCCCUCCACGCCGGGAAGCGAGGCUGCCCUCAACACCGGGAAGGGAAUCCCCCCUCAACGCUGGGGAAUCGAGGCCGCCCUCCACGUCGAGGAAUCGAGGCCGCCCUCCACGCCGGGAAGCGACGCCGCUGCACGCCGGGAAGAGAGGACGACCUGAACACCGUUACUCCGACGACACCCACAUUGGCUGAACUCACGCAACUCCACAACUUCCCUACAAUUCGACCACCGGUUGCUGCACUUUCUUCAGGUUCAGCGUCUUAAAUUUGAAUAGAGACCUGUUGCCAACCAAUGGUAGAGAUCAAAGUAUAUCAUAUUGUUAUGACAGAAAAUUAACCCAGUUAUCUUAAGUUACUGAUAUCUUAGUGCUUUGUGAUACGCACUGAUGCCAGGAUAUCAAACUCCUAAGUCACGGUUGUGUGUGCCAUUCAGGCCACUCAUCCACAAAAAGCAGAAUGCUGAUGGUGAAAAGGCCCGCUUCAAGAAAUUGGACCAAGGGUCUUUUUUGCUUUGAAGGUUGGGACACUCUUCUACCUGUAGCUCUGUCGUAGGAGGAACGUAGUACAUCUGUUUUGCGUUCAUGUCCAGGUGCAGUUCCUUGUGAGUUGCACAUCUGUAUUGUGGUCCAUUCUGAUUGAGUAUUAUUCUUCUUGAUAUCUCCUACACAACUACAUAAUAGGCUGGUAGGUAUUAGCAUGAAUGGAACCACUAGAUCAUAAAACGAGGUACAGAUGCCUUCUCCAUAAUUCCGUUUGUUGCCCAUAUCUUAUUCACGGAAAAUCCUUGUGAUAUUGUUGGCACGUUAUUUUUUGUUUUCUCGUGCUUGAUUAGUGCCUUCCCCUGAUGUGUUGCGAAAUACUUGGGUUAGGAUGAGCUGGACCAAAAAUUUCAUAUUCAGCUUUGACAAUGUGUUCUAUGAUGAGGCUGAACAAUCUGAUGUCUAUAUUUGUCUGACAGUCAACAUUGUUAAACAUUUUGAUUAUUUGUAUUUCUUUCAAAAUUUAUGCAUAAGGUAGUCUAGGAUUUGUCAUAUUAUAAAUUUUGGUCAUGACUGGAUUUAUUUAGGCACCAUAGUACUAAUUCAGUAACGAAUAUUGGGUUCAUAUGAUGACAUUGGAAUAAAUGGCACAAUAAUCCCUUAUGGACAAGUAUGCGUCACUGUAAAAGCCAGCUUACACAAAUGUUUGGAAAAGCAUGAUCCAUUGAUAAACCCAUUGUGUGUUAAAGUGAAGAUUGGCCUACUGAAGUCUCAAACUUACACAAAGGCAGCAUAUAUGAAAUGAGAUGAUUCUAUGACAGUGCUAACAUUUCAUUUGAACUUCACAUUCGUGUAAACUGGAGUUGGAAAGACUAGCAUCAAGUGUGGAGGUAAAGAUAACACCAUUGGGCAUAAAUUUAGAUGUUCAUAGGGGCCAAGCAUCUUGCAGUACAAUGAGCUGAAAACUGGACUGGUUCGGAGAGUUGUAAUUGGUCCUUUAAGUGCUUUAAGAACAUCAGCAAACAUUAGAACAUGGACCUUGAAGUUGACAAUGAGUUACUCAAAAGUGCAGAUAGCCAAUGAUGCAAGAAGACUGGGCAGAUGUGCGUUUGGAUUUACCUUUUCCAUUAGUAGCGAGUAAGUAGUAUGCAGCUGCUCAGUUUUGCUUUCUUGGGAUAUUCUCAACUAACUAAUUAAAUUUGAAGUAAAUAUUUGUUUACCUUCCAAUUAAUGUUAUUCAGAUGUUUAGUUCUCUGUUUAGUACAACUGUUAUGAUUAUUUUUUCUCUCCCUGUUAUUUCAGUUUUGUAAAUUGUUUUAUAACUCGAUUUUCAUUUUAUUUUCAGAAAAGUCCACCUAAAAGGUCAGUGAAUCCUUUAAUUUCUUUUGAAUUUGUUGUGGAGGCGAGUUAGGAAUGUAUUCCUUGUUAUUAAUUUGGUGGAUAUACUGCUAUGGUAAUGGAGACUUGCCAAACCAAAUCGUGUUUUCCCCAUUUGAAGUGUUUAGAAGUUUCUCCGAUACAUUAAAAUGUGUCAACAAGUCGAGGAGGAGCUUGACAAGGUGCAGGCGGUGAUUCACACAUGAACUGAUGGAGCCUUUAUGCAGCUUUUCAAGCUGUGGUAGUACGGCAAUGACGACGACGUGCCUCCAGCUAGGGUCGAAUGCGUAUCGAGGGUAUUAACAAGCUCCUCUCACAAUGAAAAACUUUUUUUCUUAGAAUCAGCUGUUUUAAUUGUAUCAACCGAUUGGGCUGAUGAUGUAAUAUAGUCGGUGUGACUGCUGCAUGAAGUACUUACCAGGGUAUUAACAAGUAAACUUUGGAUCCCUCUCGCUACUGCUCAUUGAUUCUGAAUACUCAUUUAUAGGAGUAUUGUUUUUGAGAAGCAGGAAUAUCUACAUUAUUUACAUUGAGAUAUCGGUUGCAUUGUGAUCUGCAGGUGAGACUGGGGUAGGCAGGAGCCUGCCGUACCGUGUUAGUACAUGACGUUGAUGUCCAUCUCAUCGACAUGGUUCGUUGCCGUCUACCUCAACAUCGCUGAGCAGGCACUUUGGUACUCUUACUCCAUUACGAGAGCUCUGGUUCUCUUGCUCUUGCAUUGCAAGUGUAAUUACACAUUUUUUUCCCCUUGUAUUGAAGUCUUUACCUGUGAACGUUUUAGUCAUAAUUUCUUAAUAAUUAAGUGACCGCUGAAUGUAACUGUGUAUUAUAUUUACUUCACCAUGCCAUCAUUAGAAUACAGAAAUGGUAUGUUUUACUUUAUGAGUUC